CAGACACGUCCUAUGCAGUCAACUUGACAUUCAGCAUCAGUAACAUUAGCAUGUCUAAGAACCCUGACCUCAGGAACCACACCUACACCCAAGUGGAGAACAUCAUCAAUAACGCUCUAAACACGCUUCUAAAUGACGCUGGUGCAGAACCAUUCGAACCCCAGAGCUCUUUCUUCACGAGUUCAGGAAAGCAGGUUAAUGGUGAUAUGAAGUACUACUUCCAAGAUGGAGACACCAAAACACCAGUAGCCUUCAAGAAUGAGCUAAC